GAAUGCUGACAUAAGUAACGAUAAAGCGGGUGAAAAGCCCGCUCGCCGGAAGACCAAGGGUUCCUGUCCAACGUUAAUCGGGGCAGGGUGAGUCGACCCCUAAGGCGAGGCCGAAAGGCGUAGUCGAUGGGAAACGGGUUAAUAUUCCCGUACUUGGUGUUACUGCGAAGGGGGGACGGAGAAGGCUAUGUUGGCCGGGCGACGGUUGUCCC
rnacentral:rRNA from 2 species